rnacentral:rRNA from 1 species
AACAGGAUUAGAUACCCUGGUAGUCCACGCCCUAAACGAUGUCUACUAGUUGUCGGGUCUUAAUUGACUUGGUAACGCAGCUAACGCGUGAAGUAGACCGCCUGGGGAGUACGGUCGCAAGAUUAAAACUCAAAGGAAUUGACGGGGACCCGCACAAGCGGUGGAUGAUGUGGAUUAAUUCGAUGCAACGCGAAAAACCUUACCUACCCUUGACAUGUACAGAAUCCCGAAGAGAUUUGGGAGUGUUCGAAAGAAAACUGUAACACAGGUGCUGCAUGGCUGUCGUCAGCUCGUGUCGUGAGAUGUUGGGUUAAGUCCCGCAACGAGCGCAACCCUUGUCAUUAGUUGCUACGAAAGGGCACUCUAAUGAGACUGCCGGUGACAAACCGGAGGAAGGUGGGGAUGACGUCAAGUCCCCAUGGCCCUUAUGGGUAGGGCUUCACACGUCAUACAAUGGUACAUACAGAGGGCCGCCAACCCGCGAGGGGGAGCUAAUCCCAGAAAGUGUAUCGUAGUCCGGAUUGUAGUCUGCAACUCGACUACAUGAAGUUGGAAUCGCUAGUAAUCGCGGAUCAGCAUGUCGCGGUGAAUACGUUCCCGGGUCUUGUACACACCGCCCGUCACACCAUGGGAGCGGGUUUUACCAGAAGUAGGUAGCCUAACCGUAAGGAGGGCGCUUACCACGGUAGGAUUCGUGACUGGGGUGAAGUCGUAACAAGGUAACCGUAAAU